GAUCCUGGCUCAGGAUGAACGCUAGCUACAGGCUUAACACAUGCAAGUCGAGGGGCAGCAGGACGAUAGCUUGCUAUGUUGCUGGCGACCGGCGCACGGGUGAGUAACGCGUAUCCAACCUUCCCCUUAGUAGGGCAUAGCCCGGUGAAAAUCGGAUUAAUACCCUAUGUUGUGUCAUGAGGACAUCUGAAUAACACUAAAGAUUUAUCGCUAAGGGAUGGGGAUGCGUCCGAUUAGGUAGUCGGCGGGGUAACGGCCCACCGAGCCCUCGAUCGGUAGGGGUUCUGAGAGGAAGGUCCCCCACACUGGUACUGAGACACGGACCAGACUCCUACGGGAGGCAGCAGUGAGGAAUAUUGGUCAAUGGGCGUAAGCCUGAACCAGCCAAGUAAGCGUGCAGGAUGACGGCCCUAUGGGUUGUAAACUGCUUUUAUACGGGGAUAAAGUGAGGGACGUGUCCCUUAUUGUAGGUACCGUAUGAAUAAGGACCGGCUAAUUCCGUGCCAGCAGCCGC
rnacentral:rRNA from 1 species